UACGUAGGGUGCGAGCGUUAAUCGGAAUUACUGGGCGUAAAGCGUGCGCAGGCGGUGAUGUAAGACAGUUGUGAAAUCCCCGGGCUCAACCUGGGAAUUGCAUCUGUGACUGCAUCGCUAGAGUACGGUAGAGGGGGAUGGAAUUCCGCGUGUAGCAGUGAAAUGCGUAGAUAUGCGGAGGAACACCGAUGGCGAAGGCAAUCCCCUGGACCUGUACUGACGCUGAGGUACGAAAGCGUGGGGAGCAAACAGG
rnacentral:rRNA from 1 species